UAUGCACGAUGGCGCAGUAUCCUAGUGAAAGCGGCCCUUUUUGAAGACGGGCCUAAAAAUCCGUCAAAGGGCACAUCGAUGAAGCGUUUUGUGCCUGCUUCGUACGCCCAGUAUGGGGUGGGUGCUGAACGAUUGGACUUGCGGGCAUCCGCAACGGCAUGCGAACAAUGACCCGUCUGUCCUUGGAGGCCUUAUUGCGUGGGCUGGUCCGAAAGCCUACGGGUAAGGGGUAAACCUGUCACGCGGUGCGUUUGACGCUGUGGGCAGCGUAGCCUGCCUUGCGUGGCGGCGGCGGAUUUCGGAACCACGGCGCUCGUCUCCCGGCCGGAGACGCGCGGCGAUUGCCGGAUGAAACCGCAGCUGCAAAAGAGGCUGAGAAAAGGAUCCGCUUUCGGAGGAAAUCUCCUAGGCUGUUUUUUUAAAAAGGCAUAAAAGGGAUUGCAGUGCGCACUCACAGGCAAUCGAGUCCCGGUAUUCGGCGACGGUAUCGGCUCCGCUUUCAAGGGGAACCGCUCCUUCGGUGACGGGGAGUAGCGGAUGGGGAAAUGCCAACUCGACCUUAAGCCGCAACGUUUACUUUUUAUGCUGCCAUCAUCUU
rnacentral:sRNA from 1 species